CAAUAGCGUAUAUUAAAGUUGUUGCAGUUAAAAAGCUCGUAGUUGGAUUUGUGGCUGUCGCGUGCGACCCGACACCUAGUGUUGGUGUUUGCUUGCGUCGCCAUCCUUGGGUGGAACCUGUGUGGCAUUAGGUUGUCGUGCAGGGGAUGCCCAUCGUUUACUGUGAAAAAAUUAGAGUGUUCAAAGCAGGCUUAUGCCGUUGAAUAUGUUAGCAUGGAAUAAUAAGAUAGGACCUUGGUACUAUUUUGUUGGUUUGCGCACCAAGGUAAUGAUUAAUAGGGACAGUUGGGGGCAUUAGUAUUUAAUUGUCAGAGGUGGAAUUCUCAGAUUUGUUAAAGACUAACUUAUGCGAAAGCAUUUGCCAAGGAUGUUUUCAUUAAUCAAGAACGAAAGUUAGGGGAUCAAAGAUGAUCAGAUACCGU
rnacentral:rRNA from 1 species